GACACCAACAAGCGCAAGAGAGACGAAGUAUUCAGGAGUCUCCGGUGCCGAACGGCCACUCGCUUCCGGGCAGAGACUUCCUCCGGAAGCAGAUGCGGGGAGACUUGUUCACACAGCAGCAGCUGGAGGUGCUGGACCGCGUGUUUGAGAGGCAGCACUACUCAGACAUCUUCACCACCACAGAGCCCAUCAAGCCCGAGCAGCUCCCCCUACUAUUAUAGCGCUGCCGCCCGAGGAGCCGCCCCACCUGCAGCCGCCACUGCCUAUGACCGUCACUGAC
rnacentral:lncRNA from 1 species